rnacentral:rRNA from 1 species
AGUGAACGCUGGCGGUAGGCCUAACACAUGCAAGUCGAACGGCAGCACAGUAAGAGCUUGCUCUUACGGGUGGCGAGUGGCGGACGGGUGAGGAAUACAUCGGAAUCUACUUUUUCGUGGGGGAUAACGUAGGGAAACUUACGCUAAUACCGCAUACGACCUACGGGUGAAAGCAGGGGAUCUUCGGACCUUGCGCGAUUGAAUGAGCCGAUGUCGGAUUAGCUAGUUGGCGGGGUAAAGGCCCACCAAGGCGACGAUCCGUAGCAGGUCUGAGAGGAUGAUCAGCCACAAUGGAACUGAGACACGGUCCAGAAUCCUAAGGGAGGCAGCAGUGGGGAAUAUUGGACAAUGGGCGCAAGGCUGAUCCAGCCAUACCGCGUGGGUGAAGAAGGCCUUCGGGUUGUAAAGCCCUUUUGUUGGGAAAGAAAAGCAGCAGGUUAAUACCCCGCUGUUCUGACGGUACCCAAAGAAUAAGCACCGGCUAACUUCGUG